rnacentral:rRNA from 1 species
AUUGAACGCUAGCGGGAUGCUUUACACAUGCAAGUCGAACCAGUUGCGGACGGUUGAGUACUAUAUCGGAACGUGCCCACUAGCGUGGGCUAUCUCCUCGCAAGAGUGUCUAUUACCGCUUACUUUUGUAUCGCCCCAUAUCGGAUUAGCUAGUUGGUGGGGUAAAGGCUCACCAAGGCAACGAUCCGUAGCUGGUUUGAGAGGACGACGAGCCACACUGGGACUGAGACACGGCCCAGACUCCUACGGGAGGCAGCAGUGGGGAAUUUUGGACAAUGGGGGAAACCCUGAUCCAGCCAUCCCGCGUGUAUGAGAAGGCCUUCGGGUUGUAAAGUACUUUUGGCAGAGAAGCGGUAUCUGAAGAAUAAGCACCGGCUAACUACGUGCCAGCAGCCGCGGUAAUUA